rnacentral:rRNA from 1 species
UGGGGAAUAUUGGACAGUGGGGGGAAGCCCAUCGAUCCAGCCAUGCCGCGCUGUGUGAAGAAGGCCAAUUAUGGGCUUUGUGAAAUGCAACUUUUAAGCGAGGAGGAGGCUCUUUUGGUUAAUACCCAAGAUGAGUGGACGUUACUCGCAGAAUAAGCACCGGCUAACUCUGUGCCAGCAGCCGCGGUAAUACAGAGGGUGCGAGCGUUAAUCGGAUUUACUGGGCGUAAAGCGUGCGUAGGCGGCUUUUUAAGUCGGAUGUGAAAUCCCCGAGCUUAACUUGGGAAUUGCAUUCGAUACUGGGAAGCUAGAGUAUGGGAGAGGAUGGUAGAAUUCCAGGUGUAGCGGUGAAAUGCGUAGAGAUCUUGGAGGAAUACCGAUGGCGAAGGCAGCCAUCUGGCCUAAUACUGACGCUGAGGUACGAAAGCAUGGGGAGCAAACA